AUUGAACGCUGGCGGCAGGCCUAACACAUGCAAGUCGAGCGAGCGGCGGACGGGUGAGUAAUGUAUGGGGACUGCCCGAUAGAGGGGGAUCACUACUGGAACCGGUAGCUAAUACCGCAUACUAUCGGAUAACCCAUAUGGGAGUAUCUAGUAGGUGGGGUAAUGGCUCACCUAGGCGACGAUCCCUAGCUGGUCUGAGAGGAUGAUCAGCCACACUGGGACUGAGACACGGCCCGAACUCCAACGGGGGCAGCGGUGGGGAAUAUUGCAAAAUGGGCGAAGGCCUGAUGCGGCCAUGCCGGUGGUAGGAAGAAGGCCCUAGGGUUGUAAAGUACUUUCGGUCGGGAGGCGUAACCGAAGGAAGAAGCACCGGCUAACUCCGUGCCAGCAGCGCGGUAAUAG
rnacentral:rRNA from 1 species